UCUCAAGCAUAAUAAGGGCAUCUGGUGGAUGCCUUGGCGUCAAGAGGCGAUGAAAGACGUGGCACUCUGCGAUAAGCUACGGUGAGCCGAGAGCAGGCUUUGACCCGUAGAUUUCUGAAUGGGGAAACCCCACCCAAUAGGGUGAUCCUGUCGUGAAUACAUAGCGGCAGGAGGCGAACCCGGUGAACUGAAACAUCUCAGUAACCGGAGGAAAGGACAUCAACCGAGACUUCGCUAGUAGCGGCGAGCGAACGCGAACCAGGCCAGUGGCUUAUGCAUAAGAACCGGAACGAUCUGGAAAGGUCGGCCAUAGUGGGUGAUAGCCCCGUACGGGUAGAAAAUGCAUAAGUCCUCGAGUAGGACGGGACACGUGAAAUCCUGUCUGAACAUGGGGGGACCACCCUCCAAGCCUAAGUACUCCUUGACGACCGAUAGUGUACCAGUACCGUGAGGGAAAGGUGAAAAGCACCCCGAUAAGGGGAGUGAAAUAGUUCCUGAAACCGGAUGCCUACAAGCAGUUGGAGCCUCUUUAUGGGGUGACAGCGUACCUCUUGCAUAAUGGGUCAGCGAGUUAGUCUUACAAGCAAGCUUAAGCCGAUAGGUGUAGGCGCAGCGAAAGCGAGUCUUAAUAGGGCGAUUGAGUUUGUGGGAUUAGACCCGAAACCAGGUGAUCUAGCCAUGAGCAGGUUGAAGGUGAUGUAACAGUCACUGGAGGACCGAACCCACGUCUGUUGAAAAAGACGGGGAUGACUUGUGGUUAGGGGUGAAAGGCCAAUCAAACCUGGAGAUAGCUGGUUCUCCGCGAAAUCUAUUUAGGUAGAGCGUCAGACGAAUACCAUCGGGGGUAGAGCACUGAAUGGGCUAGGGGGCCUUACCGGCUUACCAAACCUAAUCAAACUCCGAAUACCGAUGAGUACUAUCUGGCAGACAGACUACGGGUGCUAAGGUCCGUGGUCGAGAGGGAAACAGCCCAGACCGCCAGUUAAGGUCCCAAAGUUGUGGCUAAGUGGGAAAGGAUGUAGGACGGCCAAGACAACCAGGACGUUGGCUUAGAAGCAGCCAUCGUUUAAAGAAAGCGUAACAGCUCACUGGUCUAAAUAAGCUGUCCCGCGCCGAAGAUGUACCGGGGCUCAAGCCACACACCGAAACUGCGGACUUGUUCUUUGAACAAGUGGUAGCGGAGCGUUCCGUAAGCCUGUGAAGGUGAACCGUAAGGUUUGCUGGAGGUAUCGGAAGCGAGAAUGCUGACAUGAGUAGCGAUAAAGGGAGUGAGAACCUCCCUCGCCGAAAGCCCAAGGGUUCCUGCGCAAGGCCAAUCCGCGCAGGGUGAGUCGGCCCCUAAGACGAGGCAGAAAUGCGUAGUCGAUGGGAAACAGGUUAAUAUUCCUGUACCCGUGAGAAGUGACGGCCUCUGGAAGUAGUUUUUCCUUAUUGGAUUGGAGAAGCUGCCAAGGAGGUCCAGGAAAUAACUCUCACAUAUGGACCGUACCCCAAACCGACACAGGUGGGCAGGUUGAAUAUACCAAGGCGCUUGAGAGAAUGGUGUUGAAGGAACUCGGCAAAUUGCCCCCGUAACUUCGGGAGAAGGGGGCCCACCGUGAAGGCAACUUUACGGUGGGGGCACAGACUAGGGGGUGGCGACUGUUUACUAAAAACACAGGGCUCUGCGAAGUCGCAAGACGACGUAUAGGGUCUGACGCCUGCCCGGUGCCGGAAGGUUAAGAGGAGAUGUGCAAGCAUUGAAUUGAAGCCCCGGUAAACGGCGGCCGUAACUAUAACGGUCCUAAGGUAGCGAAAUUCCUUGUCGGGUAAGUUCCGACCUGCACGAAUGGCGUAACGACUUCCCCACUGUCUCCAACACCAACUCAGCGAAAUUGAAUUCUCCGUGAAGAUGCGGAGUACCCGCGGUCAGACGGAAAGACCCCGUGCACCUUUACUACAGCUUUGCAGUGGUAUCAGGAUGUGAAUGUGCAGAAUAGGUGGGAGGCUUUGAAGCCAUGGCGCCAGCCAUGGUGGAGCCACCUUUGAGAUACCACCCUUUUGCUUCCUGAUAUCUAACCGAGGUCCGUUAUCCGGAUCCGGGACCCUGCAUGGCGGGUAGUUUGACUGGGGCGGUCGCCUCCCAAAGAGUAACGGAGGCGCGCGAUGGUAGGCUCAGGCUGGUCGGACAUCAGCUUAAGAGUGCAAUGGCAAAAGCCUGCCUGACUGCGAGACUGACAAGUCGAGCAGAGACGAAAGUCGGUCAUAGUGAUCCGGUGGUCCCGCGUGGAAGGGCCAUCGCUCAACGGAUAAAAGGUACGCCGGGGAUAACAGGCUGAUACUCCCCAAGAGUCCACAUCGACGGGAGUGUUUGGCACCUCGAUGUCGGCUCAUCACAUCCUGGGGCUGGAGCAGGUCCCAAGGGUUUGGCUGUUCGCCAAUUAAAGUGGUACGUGAGCUGGGUUUAGAACGUCGUGAGACAGUUCGGUCCCUAUCUGCCGUGGGCGUAGGAUACUUGAGAAGAGCUGUCCCUAGUACGAGAGGACCGGGAUGGACGCACCUCUGGUGUACCGGUUGUUCCGCCAGGAGCAUCGCCGGGUAGCUAAGUGCGGAAGGGAUAACCGCUGAAAGCAUCUAAGCGGGAAGCCCCCUUCAAGACUAGGUAUCCCUAUCAGAUCCCUGGAAGACCACCAGGUUGAUAGGCUGGGUGUGGAAGCGUGGCAACACGUGAAGCUAACCAGUACUAAUUGAUCGAUCGGCUUGAUUGAUCCC
rnacentral:rRNA from 1 species